UACAGAGGGUGCAAGCGUUAAUCGGAAUUAAUGGGCGUAAAGCGUGCGUAGACGGUUAUGUAAGUCGGGUGUGAAAGCCCCGGGCUCAACCUGGGAAUGCCAUUCGAGACUGCAUAGCUAGGGUGCGGAAGAGGGAAGCGGAAUUUCCGGUGUAGCGGUGAAAUGCGUAGAUAUCGGAAGGAACACCAGUGGCGAAAGCGGCUUCCUGGUCCAGCACCGACGUUCAGGCACGAAAGCGUGGGGAGCAAACAGG
rnacentral:rRNA from 1 species